rnacentral:tRNA from 1 species
GGCGGCGUAGCUCAACUGGCUGAGCGUACGGUUCAUACCCGUAAGGUCGGGGGUUCAAGCCCCUCCGCCGCUG